rnacentral:misc_RNA from 1 species
GCAAGGCUUUGUCUCUGGUGGGACUAUAGGUGGAAAUAGUAAUACUCCCCAUAUUAGUUCCACAUUUACUGCUGCAACACCUGGGGGAUAUACUUCUAGUCAGCCAGCUAGAGAUGGAGCUAACCAGAAAAGUUCAGAGAGUUCAAAGGAGAGGUCCAGAGAGAGACGGAGGCCUUCUGGUUGGGAUCGUUGAUUUGUUAUUUAGGUAUACUGGGAUAAUCAACUUGUUGGAAAAUUACUGUGGGAUAUGCAUGGUUUACGUGUCACUCCUCAUCAUGGUCUAAGUUGGUGACUUUUCUUUCAAACUCACCAUUUGCAUCAAGGAAAUGAAAGGAAGAUAAAUUGUUAUAUCACAUAACAAGUAGCGAGUAUGCAGAGUCCAAUCAGACUGGUGUCCAUUGCAGAGAUAGCUUGGGAGGAAGUUAUGGUGCUUCUGAAAUGGUUCAUGUAAAAUGAUCUUUAUUGUCCAAAAGUGUAUGUAUUUGGUUCUCUUGAUACAUCAAAAUUGUUCCUGCAACUUUAAUACGUUUCUGGUCUUGGGAAAAUUUUAACAUUUUGGCUAAUAGGGAAGAGACUCAAGUGUAAAUUAUUCACUUCGGCUGCUGUUUCAAUUGCACUGCUAACUUUU